rnacentral:rRNA from 1 species
GGGUUGUGAGGUUAAGCGACUAAGCGUACACGGUGGAUGCCCUGGCAGUCAGAGGCGAUGAAGGACGUGCUAAUCUGCGAAAAGCGUCGGUAAGGUGAUAUGAACCGUUAUAACCGGCGAUGUCCGAAUGGGGAAACCCAGUGCAAUUCGUUGCACUAUCGUUAACUGAAUACAUAGGUUAACGAGGCGAACCGGGGGAACUGAAACAUCUAAGUACCCGAGGAAAAGAAAUCAACCGAGAUUCCCCCAGUAGCGGCGAGCGAACGGGGAGCAGCCCAGAGUCUGAAUCAGCUUGUGUGUUAGUGGAACGGUCUGGAAAGUCCGACGGUACAGGGUGAUAGUCCCGUACACCAAAAUGCACAGGUUGUGAACUCGAAGAGUAGGGCGGGACACGUGGUAUCCUGUCUGAAUAUGGGGGGACCAUCCUCCAAGGCUAAAUACUCCUGACUGACCGAUAGUGAACCAGUACCGUGAGGGAAAGGCGAAAAGAACCCCGGCGAGGGGAGUGAAAAAGAACCUGAAACCGUGUACGUACAAGCAGUGGGAGCACCUUCGGGUGUGACUGCGUACCUUUUGUAUAAUGGGUCAGCGACUUAUAUUCUGUAGCAAGGUUAACCGUAUAGGGGAGCCGCAGGGAAACCGAGUCUUAACUGGGCGUUAAGUUGCAGGGUAUAGACCCGAAACCCGGUGAUCUAGCCAUGGGCAGGUUGAAGGUUGGGUAACACUAACUGGAGGACCGAACCGACUAAUGUUGAAAAAUUAGCGGAUGACUUGUGGCUGGGGGUGAAAGGCCAAUCAAACCGGGAGAUAGCUGGUUCUCCCCGAAAGCUAUUUAGGUAGCGCCUCGUGAACUCAUCUUCGGGGUAGAGCACUGUUUCGGCUAGGGGGUCAUCCCGACUUACCAACCCGAUGCAAACUACGAAUACCGAAGAAUGUUAUCACGGGAGACACACGGCGGGUGCUAACGUCCGUCGUGAAGAGGGAAACAACCCAGACCGCCAGCUAAGGUCCCAAAGUCAUGGUUAAGUGGGAAACGAUGUGGGAAGGCACAGACAGCCAGGAUGUUGGCUUAGAAGCAGCCAUCAUUUAAAGAAAGCGUAAUAGCUCACUGGUCGAGUCGGCCUGCGCGGAAGAUGUAACGGGGCUAAACCAUGCACCGAAGCUGCGGCAGCGACACUAUGUGUUGUUGGGUAGGGGAGCGUUCUGUAAGCCUGCGAAGGUGACCUGUGAGGGUUGCUGGAGGUAUCAGAAGUGCGAAUGCUGACAUAAGUAACGAUAAAGCGGGUGAAAAGCCCGCUCGCCGGAAGACCAAGGGUUCCUGUCCAACGUUAAUCGGGGCAGGGUGAGUCGACCCCUAAGGCGAGGCCGAAAGGCGUAGUCGAUGGGAAACAGGUUAAUAUUCCUGUACUUGGUGUUACUGCGAAGGGGGGACGGAGAAGGCUAUGUUAGCCGGGCGACGGUUGUCCCGGUUUAAGCAUGUAGGCUGGUUGUCCAGGCAAAUCCGGAUAAUCAAGGCUGAGGUGUGAUGACGAGGCACUACGGUGCUGAAGUAACAAAUGCCCUGCUUCCAGGAAAAGCCUCUAAGCAUCAGGUAACAUCAAAUCGUACCCCAAACCGACACAGGUGGUCAGGUAGAGAAUACCAAGGCGCUUGAGAGAACUCGGGUGAAGGAACUAGGCAAAAUGGUGCCGUAACUUCGGGAGAAGGCACGCUGGUGUGUAGGUGAAGUCCCUGCGGAUGGAGCUGAGACCAGUCGAAGAUACCAGCUGGCUGCAACUGUUUAUUAAAAACACAGCACUGUGCAAACACGAAAGUGGACGUAUACGGUGUGACGCCUGCCCGGUGCCGGAAGGUUAAUUGAUGGGGUUAUCCGUAAGGAGAAGCUCUUGAUCGAAGCCCCGGUAAACGGCGGCCGUAACUAUAACGGUCCUAAGGUAGCGAAAUUCCUUGUCGGGUAAGUUCCGACCUGCACGAAUGGCGUAAUGAUGGCCAGGCUGUCUCCACCCGAGACUCAGUGAAAUUGAACUCGCUGUGAAGAUGCAGUGUACCCGCGGCAAGACGGAAAGACCCCGUGAACCUUUACUAUAGCUUGACACUGAACAUUGAGCCUUGAUGUGUAGGAUAGGUGGGAGGCUUUGAAGCGUGGACGCCAGUCUGCGUGGAGCCAACCUUGAAAUACCACCCUUUAAUGUUUGAUGUUCUAACGUUGGCCCCUUACCGGGGUUGCGGACAGUGUCUGGUGGGUAGUUUGACUGGGGCGGUCUCCUCCCAAAGCGUAACGGAGGAGCACGAAGGUUAGCUAAUCCUGGUCGGACAUCAGGAGGUUAGUGCAAUGGCAUAAGCUAGCUUGACUGCGAGCGUGACGGCGCGAGCAGGUGCGAAAGCAGGUCAUAGUGAUCCGGUGGUUCUGAAUGGAAGGGCCAUCGCUCAACGGAUAAAAGGUACUCCGGGGAUAACAGGCUGAUACCGCCCAAGAGUUCAUAUCGACGGCGGUGUUUGGCACCUCGAUGUCGGCUCAUCACAUCCUGGGGCUGAAGUAGGUCCCAAGGGUAUGGCUGUUCGCCAUUUAAAGUGGUACGCGAGCUGGGUUUAGAACGUCGUGAGACAGUUCGGUCCCUAUCUGCCGUGGGCGCUGGAGAAUUGAGGGGGGCUGCUCCUAGUACGAGAGGACCGGAGUGGACGCAUCACUGGUGUUCGGGUUGUCAUGCCAAUGGCACUGCCCGGUAGCUAAAUGCGGAAGAGAUAAGUGCUGAAAGCAUCUAAGCACGAAACUUGCCCCGAGAUGAGUUCUCCCUGAGACUUUAAGUCUCCUGAAGGAACGUUAAAGACGAUGACGUUGAUAGGCCGGGUGUGUAAGCGCAGCGAUGCGUUGAGCUAACCGGUACUAAUGAACCGUGAGGCUUAACCUUACAACGCCGAAG